ensembl:rRNA 5S_rRNA 5S ribosomal RNA
GUCUAUGGCCAUACCAUCCUGAAUGUACCCAAUCUCGUCUGAUCUUGGAAGCUAAGCAGGGUCGGGCCUGGUUAGUACUUGGAUGGGAGACCACCUGGGAAUACCGGGUGCUGUAGGCU